rnacentral:rRNA from 1 species
AUGGAGACUUCUUCGAAAAGCUCUUCCUACAGGUUUGCGAGCAGGCCUACUUUUCUUACUGAUUGCCUCUCUUUGGCAAAAGCAGCGGCGGCAAGAAGUGUAUUGGCAGAUUCCACCCCUUGGACCAUCAGAACUUCUCUAGCUGAAUUUUUCUCCUUUACAAAUGAUCUCCAAGCACAGGUGUAUCACAUAUCAAGAGAGAUCAAUGGUAUUUCUCAUAAUGUGGCUCAUCAGGUUCUUAGAAGUUUACCAGAACCUGACACUAGUUGUUUUGCUUCAGCUCAUACAAACAUGAUAUGCCCUGUUGUUUCUCUCCUGUCUAAUUUCAAUUUCCAGGGCUAUGUAAUUCACGCUGUAAGAUGUUACUGA